CCUACGGGUUGCAGCAGUGGGGAAUAUUGCACAAUGGGCGGAAGCCUGAUGCAGCGACGCCGCGUGAGGGAUGACGGCCUUCGGGUUGUAAACCUCUUUCAGUACGGAAGAAGCGAAAGUGACGGUACGUGCAGAAGAAGCGCCGGCUAACUACGUGCCAGCAGCCGCGGUAAUACGUAGGGCGCAAGCGUUGUCCGGAAUUAUUGGGCGUUAAGAGCUCGUAGGCGGUUUGUCGCGUCUGCUGUGAAAGCCCGGGGCUUAACCCCGGGUGUGCAGUGGGUACGGGCAGACUUGAGUGCAGUAGGGGAGACUGGAAUUCCUGGUGUAGCGGUGAAAUGCGCAGAUAUCAGGAGGAACACCGAUGGCGAAGGCAGGUCUCUGGGCUGUUACUGACGCUCAGGUGCGAAAGCGUGGGGAGCAAACAGGAUUAGAUACCCGUGUAGUC
rnacentral:rRNA from 1 species